CCCUUAGAUGUUCUGGGCCGCACGCGUGCUACACUGAGUAAAUCAAUGGGUAAGGGAACACGAAAGUGCAACCUAAUCUUGAAAUUUGCUCGUGAUGGGGAUUGACGGUUGCAAUUUUCUGUCAUGAACGAGGAAUACCUUGUAAGCGCGGGUCAUCAUCCCGCGCUGAAUACGUCCCUGCCCUUUGUACACACCGCCCGUCGCUCCUACCGAUUGAGUGGUCCGGUGAGGCUUUGGGAUCUGAGCGGAAAGAGCGUUUCGCUGUUUCUGCUCGGAAAACUCAGUCGAACCUUAUCAUUUAGAGGAAGGAGAAGUCGUAACA
rnacentral:rRNA from 1 species